rnacentral:rRNA from 1 species
UGAUACGGUGAAUACGUUCCCGGACCUUGUACACACCGCCCGUCAAGCCAUGAAAGCCGGGGGGACCUGAAGUCGGUAACCGCAAGGAGCCGCCUAGGGUAAAACCGGUAACUGGGGCU